GUCGAACGGGCUCUUCGGAGCAAGUGGCGGACGGGUGAGUAACGCGUGAGAAUGUGCCUUCAGGAUGGGGAUAACAAUAGGAAACUAAUGCUAAGACCCAAUGUGCUGAAAAGUGAAAAAUGAAAAUUGCCUGAAGAGGAGCUCGCGUCUGAUUAGCUAGUUGGAGUGGUAAAAGCGCACCAAGGCGACGAUCAGUAGCUGGUCUGAGAGGAUGAGCAGCCACACUGGGACUGAGACACGGCCCAGACUCCUACGGGAGGCAGCAGUGGGGAAUUUUCCGCAAUGGGCGAAAGCCUGACGGAGCAAUACCGCGUGAGGGACGAAGGCUCUUGGGUUGUAAACCUCAAAACUUAGGGAAGAAAAAAAUGACGGUACCUAAUAUAAGCAUCGGCUAACUCCGUGCCAGCAGCCGCGGUAAUACG
rnacentral:rRNA from 1 species